rnacentral:rRNA from 1 species
AAUAUUGGUCAAUGGAGGCAACCCUGCAUCAGCCAUGCCGCGUGCAGGAUGACGGUCCNCCGGCUNGNACACUGCCUUUGUACAGNGAGAAAAAGCGUUACGUGUAGUUUAUUCACGGUAACGUCAGACUAAGUAUCGGCCAACUCCCUGCCAGCAGCCGCGGUAAUACGGAGGAUCCAAGCGUUAUCCGGAAUAAUUGGGUGUAAAGUGUCCGUAGGCGGCCUGAUGAGUCAGCUGUGAAAGUUUGUGGCUUAACCAAAAAAUUGCCGUUGAUACUGUAGGGCUAGAAUUUUUGUGGAGUGACUAGAAUAUGUAGUGUAGCGGUGGAAUGCUUAGAUAUUACAAGGAAUACCAAUUGCGAAGGCAGGUUACUAACAAGCGAUUGACGCUGAUGAGCGAAAGCGUGGGUAGCGAACA